GGCAAAUUCAUAUAUGGUGCAUUGCUUGGUGGACUUGCAAGCUUAUGUAAAAGACAUUUCAAGAUAAAGGAGGAAUUCAAGAGUUCAACCACUGUAAGCCUUGAAUGGCUACACUUGACCCCAAAACUGAUGGACGUCAUUUUUUCAAGGGGAGGAGCUAAAGGAGUGAGAAUCAGGCAGAUCAAGUACAUGCUUCUUGAGCACAAUUCAACUGAAAUACACAGAGAAGUAGCCAUCUGCUGCCUUAUCACAUACCUUGGAGAGAAGGAAGAGGACCUUUUCAUGGAGUUUGGUGACAAUUUAAGGCCAACCUUGAAAGGCAGGUGAUGAAAACUGCCAUCAUCGGUGACCGGUACACCCCUGGAUCUGACCAUAAGACUGCAACCAUUGUGGUGCGGGAACAAAAAUCCUGGAGGGCCAGAAUUUCCCAAGGUGCUGUGUGUUACUCAUGGGCAUAAUAUAUGCUCUCAAUCUGAGCUAAUGCAAGGAUCUGAAAUAUAC